rnacentral:rRNA from 1 species
CCCGGACGGCAACUUGGAUGCGAGUGCCAAGUGGGCCACUUUUGGUUAACAGAACUGGCGCUGUGGGAUGAACCAAACGCCGGGUUAAGGGGCCCGAUGCGAGACGCUCAUGAGAUCCCAUGAAAGGUGUUGGUUGCUAUAGACAGCAGGACGGUGGCCAUGGAAGUCGGAAUCCGCUAAGGAGUGUGUAACAACUCACCUGCCGAAGCAACUAGCCCUGAAAAUGGAUGGCGCUUCAGCGUCGACCCCAUACCCGGCCGCCGCGGCCGAAAAGCCUCGUGUUUUAAGCCGCGGUGAGUAGGAGGGGCGCGGAGGCGAGCGUCGAAGGUGCCGGGCGUAAGCCCGCCUGGAGCCGCCUCCGGCGCAGAUCUUGGUGGUAGUAGCAAAUACUCAAGUGAGAACCUUGAGGACUGAGGUGGAGAAGGGUUCCAUGUGAACAGCAGUKGAACAUGGGUCAGUCGGUCCUAAGGGAUAGGAGAAAUUCGUUCCGAGGCGGGACAUAAUUUAUUACGAAAGUCCCGGUGAUGACCGAAAGGGAAUCGGGUUAAUAUUCCCGAAUCCGGACGCGGAGAUCGUCCUCUUCGGAGGCACAUUGCGGUAACGCAAACGAGCUCGGAGACGUCGACGGGAGCACCGGGAAGAGUCAUCUUUUCUUAGUAAGGAUUCGACUCCCUGGAAUCGGCUCGCCCGGAGAUAGGGAUGGUGUUUCCGUAAAGCACCGCUCCUCUCACGGUGUCCGGAUCUCGGCCGUCGGCCCCUGAAAAUAACGAGUGAGAGAUACAGAUUUUCGUGCCGGACCAUAGCACAUAUCCGCA